GUCUCAGUGCAAGCCAAACCAAGGUGAAACCGCGAAUGGCUCAUUAAAUCAGUUAUGGUUCAUUGGACCGUGCCCCCCACGGACUUGGAUAACCGUGGUAAUUCUAGAGCUAAUACAUGCAAACUGAGUCCCGACCAGAGAUGGGAGGGAUGCUUUUAUUAGAUCAAAACCAAUCGGUCGGGGCCGCCUUUCGGGGUGGUCUCCGGUCCGCUUGCUUUGGUGACUCUGGAUAACUUGGAGCCGAUCGCACGGUCCCCGUACCGGCGACGCGUCCUUCAAAUGUCUGCCUUAUCAACUGUCGAUGGUAGGCUCUGCGCCUACCAUGGUCGUAACGGGUGACGGGGAAUCAGGGUUCGAUUCCGGAGAGGGAGCCUGAGAAACGGCUACCACAUCCAAGGAAGGCAGCAGGCGCGCAAAUUACCCACUCCCGGCACGGGGAGGUAGUGACGAAAAAUAACGAUACGGGACUCAUCCGAGGCCCCGUAAUCGGAAUGAGAACACUUUAAACCCUUUAACGAGUAUCCAUUGGAGGGCAAGUCUGGUGCCAGCAGCCGCGGUAAUUCCAGCUCCAAUAGCGUAUAUUAAAGCUGUUGCGGUUAAAAAGCUCGUAGUUGGACCUGUGUCCCACGCUGUCGGUUCACCGUUCGUCGGUGUCUAACUGGCACGCCCGUGUGGACGUCCUGCCGGUGGAUGCGGUCGGCCGCGGGGGCGGUAGUGGCCCGCUACCCCGCGCGUCGGCGGUCCUGCUGCAAUCCCGCCGCGGUGCUCUUCGCCGAGUGUCGAGGCGGGCCGGCACGUUUACUUUGAACAAAUUAGAGUGCUCAAAGCAGGCAGUGGUUGGCCUGGAUACUGUGUGCAUGGAAUAAUGGAAUAGGACCUCGGUUCUAUUUUGUUGGUUUCCGGAACCCCCGAGGUAAUGAUUAAUAGGGACAGACGGGGGCAUUCGUAUUGCGACGUUAGAGGUGAAAUUCUUGGAUCGUCGCAAGACGGACCUAAGCGAAAGCAUUUGCCAUGAGUGUUUUCGUUAAUCAAGAACGAAAGUUAGAGGUUCGAAGGCGAUCAGAUACCGCCCUAGUUCUAACCAUAAACGAUGCCAGCCAGCGAUCCGCCGGAGUUCCUCCGAUGAACCGACGGGCAGCUUCCGGGAAACCAGAGCUUCUGGGUUCCGGGGGAAGUAUGGUUGCAAAGCUGAAACUUAAAGGAAUUGACGGAAGGGCACCACCAGGAGUGGAGCCUGCGGCUUAAUUUGACUCAACACGGGGAACCUCACCAGGCCCGGACACCGGAAGGAUUGACAGAUUGAGAGCUCUUUCUCGAUUCGGUGGGUGGUGGUGCAUGGCCGUUCUUAGUUGGUGGAGCGAUUUGUCUGGUUAAUUCCGAUAACGAACGAGACUCCGGCCUGCUAACUAGUCGCACUUGCGGCAUCCUUCCGCGCUGCCGGCGACGGAUGAUCUUCUUAGAGGGACGGGCGGCUCCUAGCCGCACGAGAUCGAGCAAUAACAGGUCUGUGAUGCCCUUAGAUGUCCUGGGCCGCACGCGCGCUACACUGAAGGAAUCAGCGUGUCCUCCUAGCCCGAGAGGGCCGGGUAACCCGUUGAAACUCCUUCGUGCUGGGGAUUGGGGCUUGCAAUUGUUCCCCAUGAACGAGGAAUUCCCAGUAAGCGCGAGUCAUGAGCUGGCGUUGAUUACGUCCCUGCCCUUUGUACACACCGCCCGUCGCUACUACCGAUUGAAUGAUUUAGUGAGGUCUUCGGACCGGUGCGCGGUGGCUCGAGCUGCGCCCGCCCGGUGUGGCGAGGCCGCUGACGUCGCUGGGAAGAUGACCGAACUUGAUCAUUUAGA
rnacentral:rRNA from 1 species